UGCAGAGGGAGGAAGUGGUUGGAGUUAGUGAAGAGUGAGAGGGGGUUUGCAGACAAGAGUUAAACAAAAGGAAAUUUGUUUGGUCAAAAAGUGUCUUUUUGGACAUAAAACAAAGCCUGGACCUUUGAGUGUGGAGUCUAGCCUCUAAGUCCAGUUAAACCAAAGUCUGUUGGAAAAGCUGACUGGCCAUGUGCUCAGCGCAGGAGUAACCGGAACAAGGGAACCAGAAUGGAAUAAAGGUUUCCUUGGAAGACAAAGUUCCAAUUAUCAAGACAAAUAAUAACCAAACUCAAAUAAACACAGUCCAGGACUUUCUUUGUGGAGCGAGACCCUCAGGUAAGUAAUGGCUUGUUGUAUCCAAGUUUCUUUGGUGUUGGCUUGGUAUUGUGGCUUCUUUCUCUUUUCCAGGUUGUCGCGGACAUCCACCAGGUGGCGCUGUGGGGUUGUGAUAGUCCCCGUCCUACUCACAGGUUUGUACUCCCGACGGCCCCAAAAGCCUGUUUGCGGUAGAGUGCAGCCCCAACACCCGGCCAACCUUUCGUAAAGGUUCCACUGUUCCCCGGACAUACAAUAAAGUUGUUUUUCGUUUAAAUCA